CUCGCCGCUGCAGCCCCGCGGCCGGCCGAGCGCCGUCGGAAGCCGUCGUGGGACAGGCGGGGGGCCCGACCCGGCACGGCGGGGCCCGGGGCCGCGGGGUCGCUUGCCGGUAGCGCGGAGGACGGGCCCGGGGAAGAGGCUCCCGGAGCACCCCUGCACACACACUGCUCUCCCCGGCAGCUCCAGCCCACGCCUGUCCCGUGCCUUUGGAGGGCGCCUCAGCCGCGGAGGCGGUUUUCAUCUCAGAUGAGAGGCGGGAGGGGGCCGUGGCACUGUCCCGCGGCUAAAUGCAGAGGGUGAAAAGCACCGGGGGUAAAAACUGAUGCUGUGGUCCUCCGACGGGGUACUUGCCCUGGGUCCGGCAGCUUUCCAAGCCAUGUUUAUUGACCAGGUGAAAACGCACGUGGGCUUUUUGGGAGGAUUGGCUCCGGAGGUAUCGGUGUGGGAGGGAUUGUCUGGGCUCAAGUUGUUGGUAUCACUCCCGAGAGGACAGAGGACAGGCCAUGUGAGUGGAGCCAAUUCGGCAUCCCUGUCCCCUGCUGAGGGAGUGGGGCUGGAGGCUUGAGGGCAGGACAGGGUGCAUGGGACAUCUACAGUUUGCUUUUGAAGCACCUGCCCGUUUCUUUGAGGUACCAACCAUCUUUUGUCCCACUUAAAGUGACAAACACAAUAGGGUCAAGAGUGGUUUUCAGCCUGCAUUUAGGUUCGAAGAUGCUUCCGUUUCGAGCCUGAGGAGGGUGUUUGUGAAUGAAAAACAUCAGUACUGCUUCUUCCAGAUACACUAGCUACUGAAAGCUGAAAUAAUGUACUGCCUUGUAGAGAAGACAUCUGAAGCUGAAGUCAGUCUGCAGGUGGGAAAUCAUUCUCCAGACCAGUGAUGUCCAGCAGGGACUGCCACCCUGAGAGAUGAACAGGACUUUCAAGGUCAGACAGCAAAUUGACAACGGGGGACCGGGCCCCCCCCCAAUAUUCAUCCAGCAGGAACCUGUACCCUGCUGCAGUUUGCAUGCUCUGAAUCACAUCACAGAUUGUUAAAAGCUAUAAAAACUGACUUUGCUUUUCUCUUUGCAGAAGUUUGGAAGUUUGCAGUUCAAGAACCUCUUUGAAAGCAUGAUGUAUGAGAAAGCGGCUGCCUCCCCAUCACUUCAGCACUUGUACCUUGACAGUCAC